rnacentral:ncRNA from 6 species
UCAACAAAUCAGAAAAGUAACUAUUUUUGAUCUUCAGGGAGCCUGUGGUGAUUGUGAAUAGGUGGUUGGAAGUAGUGAAAGUGGGCUGAUUUUGAAAAUGAAUUUGAAACAAUGAAAAUUCGGUGCGCACACCUUACAGUGCAGCUUGUUGUUAAACAAGGCAGAGAUGUAAAGGGAUAGUCCCUUUAUAAUUGAGGUGGCACCGCGUUACCAACGCCCUCACA